rnacentral:rRNA from 1 species
ACGGAAGGCAGCAGUGGGGAAUAUUGCACAAUGGGGGAAACCCUGAUGCAGCGACGCCGCGUGAGUGAAGAAGUAUUUCGGUAUGUAAAGCUCUAUCAGCAGGGAAGAUAAUGACGGUACCUGACUAAGAAGCACCGGCUAAAUACGUGCCAGCAGCCGCGGUAAUACGUAUGGUGCAAGCGUUAUCCGGAUUUACUGGGUUUAAAGGGUGCGCAGGCGGGCCGGUAAGUCAGCGGUGAAAUGUCGGGGCUCAACCCCGGCAGUGCCGUUGAUACUGUUGGUCUUGAGUGCGGUGAAGGCAGGCGGAAUGCAGUGUGUAGCGGUGAAAUGCGUAGAUAUGCUGCAGAACUCCGAUAGCGAAGGCAGCUUGCCGUACCUGCACUGACGCUCAUGCACGAAAGCGUGGGGAUCAAACAGGAUUAGAUACCCUGGUA